AAGAAUCAACCGGAAGGGGAAUGUACCAACUCCGGGGUUGGACCGGAAGUGCUAACGGGGAGCGGCCAAUACGAAUUGUUGUCGCUGAUGGCGUUCACGGUCACCCAAGAUGGACAUCGAGAGAGUGAAGUUUUUCCCGUUCUGUGGACAACAAGCGGGCCGCUUUACGCGGUUUUGUUUGUCGUGCGGUCAGUCUUUAGAGUUUUUAAUUGGCGUGGACCAGUCGGAAGGACCAAACGCGCGAGGGCCAUCUCACCAGCGGGAUAAAGCUAAACAAAAUUGAGGAUGCUGCUUCAAUGGUUGCUCUGCAAGAACGAAUUGCGAGACACAGCACACGUGUGGCAGACCACCUCCGAUGGUGUAUUGUUGACCGUAACUCACCUGUAAUCCACAGCCCUUCAGUUUCUCACGGCACUAAAGCAACACCCGUCUGCUGGCCCGUCCUGUGCCACGAGCGACUCGCUGGCUUUGGAGAGACUCGUCAAACCUGACCUCAGCCCUUCAGGUGGGAACAGGAGAAGAAGAAAGUCAAACCUUGGCCUGCUGGGCUGAUUGUGAAGGAGGUGAGGCUGCUGUCUGUGGAGGAUGUUUUGAUGUUUGCAGCUGGGCUGACAUCACUUCCCUCUUCUGGCUUGGAACCACUGCCACAAACAGAGUUCUUGGAUGACUCUCCAUUCCCAAUGGCAAAUACAUGUUCAAACUUGUUGAAAUUACCACUCUGAGAUUCAUACAGUGUGUUUAAAUCCCAGAUGGACUUGGCUGUUUGUAAGCCACAUGACUGGAUGACCCACAGAAAGUGU